CGGCAAACAGGGAGAAGGAUUUGGAUAAAGAAGGUUGAGGGGAUAGUGCACAUGGAGGAAGCCCAUCCUUUCCCUCCACCACGUGUCCUGCUGAAGCAGAUGGUGCCGUGUGGCUCCGCCAUGCCACUGUGGUCGCCUUGUGAGCGCUGCUGCCAUAAGGAGGUGGGUUAGUGGGAGAUUUGGGGUGACAGUGUUUGGCAGGGGCUACAAAGUGAAGAUGUAGGGAGGGGAGAAAGCGCUUGGUGCCUUGGGCUGACACCAAGGCUUUGGGAGGCGACUCCCUGCUGGUACUGCAGUGAGAGAGGAGCAGGGGAGCAACCAGACGAGCAAAGACAGCCGCCACCUCACACUGGGUGAUGACUGAACUAACUCCAUCUUGCACACUAAUAAUACGGCAUCAGUGGCUCUUGGUGCUGAGCUUGCAGACCACGGGCAUCACUAACUCUAUUUUGUGCUCAGAAUCAUACAUUCCUUAUCAAAAGUAUAAAAGUGUCAUAUUUCUUCACUCUUUUCCGGGCUUUACUCAGACUGCACUCCAGAUCUUUUCCAUAAAAAACUUUUUAGGAGCAGUCUGACAGAGACAGAGCUGUGUUUGAGGUAUUGGUUUGUUGGUUUGAUGUAUCUGUUAUUCGUAUGGACCACAAAGAAAGUGGAUGUGAUCUUUUCCUUCAAAACUGCCUUGUGAAUACAAUUCUAAAAUAAACUAUAAAAACUAUCACACCAUA